rnacentral:lncRNA from 1 species
GUACAAUUUCAGAACAAUUGAAAUACUUAUACAUCACUAAUUGUUCGGACACUAAAAAAUGCUAUUUUGCCCAAUUCCUAAACCUUAGGGACCAUAACCCCAAAAUCAAUCCCAAGUUUCCUUUUGUGGUUAUAAACAUUGUGUUAAAAUUUUAUUGAUUUUUGUUUACUGAUACUAAAGUUAUUAUCCAGAAACCAUGUCUUGCUGACGACGACAUGAUACCAAUACAUGUAUACGACAGCAAAUUUUUUUGCGGUUGUAUAAAAACUAUGACCAUUGAACCAUUAAAAUGACUUCAUCUGAUGAAACAUGCCAGUCAUGCACAUGGAAUCACUCUAUACACCAAAUAAAGAAAAUCUCACCCGAUUCCUAAGUUCAUAGGCUCUGACAGCAUUUUUACAAAACUGAAUAUGUUUCUGGAGGAUAUUUACAUUAAAAUAUGUCCUUAUUAUCUACAAAAGUUUCAUGAAAUUCUGUUGCGUGUUUUAGAGGAGAUGAUGAGUUUUGCAGUAGUAUUUAAAGUCCAAAAUUCUAUGGUAAAUUCAUAAAUUAUUGUGAAGUUUUUCUGUUGACUUUCUUUGCAAAUGUAACUUUGUUGGUGUUUUUUUAUUUUUUUUUUUUAUUUUAAAGUUUAUCCACAACUCUACACCUACAUUUUUAACAAAAAAAAUGAAUACAAGGGAAAUCACUUCUAUUAGGAGACAGUUGACAAUUGUAGAUCCUAUUGUGAUGACCAUUCUCAUCUUUCUUGUGACUCCUAUAUCUGUUUUAGCAAAAGUUUCAUAAAUUGGCAAAAAACAUAAUCAAAUAUAUUUCGGGAACCACUUUCAUCAUCUAUUUGUUUCAGUUAUAAAGGCAUUUCUAUUGAUCUUGUAUUGCUGUUUAGUUUUAGAGAUAAUAGGCAAUGUCAUGAAAAUUAGUUGCCAAAUUGUCAGUCAAUGCCAACAACUUCAUUGGGAGCUAUCUGAUGUUUACCCUUCAGUAGAAUUUGCUGAUCAUUUGUGCUAUUGUUUUUAUCUGUAUUAUUUUGUUAUUAAGAAAAUUGAAAAAGAAAGCCCAAAAUUGUUAUUACAUGUAUAAGGAACAAUAAUUCCUGAAAUAGUCAUCCAAAGGGUUGAGUCAUUUGGGCUUUUUUUUUGUAGAUUUUAUAUUGCAGCUCAGUCUUUAAUUGUAUUGGAUUUUUUCUAAUUUGAAUGGUUUUACUUAAGAAAUAAUUUAUGCAAGCUAUACUUUAUGAGCGAUAGUGAGGGCUAAAAUAACAUGAAUAUAAUGCCUACCCAUGUUAAAACAAUAAAGUAUAGCUUGCAUCAAUCAUUUCGAUUCUGAAUAGGCCAAUAAAGGUAAUUUCUAUGUCUGAUAAGUAUAAGUUUAAAAGCGUUUGUGCAGGCUCUUCCAUGAACCUCCCUUUUUUGUUUGUAAAGAAGCAAAUGGCUGGCUCGGGUGAUUUUUCAGAGGGAAGAUUUUGAACAGCCAGCAUGAGCGGUUGUCGUAUCUAGGUCAAAUAUGUCAAUUUUGGAAUGCAACACAUUAGUCAUAAUCAUUGAAUUAGUAACAUCAUGUGCA